rnacentral:lncRNA from 1 species
AGUUGCCUGGAACUCUCCUCAGCUGGUUUAUAAAGGAGAAGGGUUUCUUCUUUGAGAGGAAGCUGAAUUAAGAGGGUAGAAUAUGAAGCCAACUUUGCCAAGUGCCCUUGAAAGGCCACUGGCUUCCUCGCCUGCUGCUGCACCUCCCAGGAGGCCUAGCGGAGUUGCUGGGAAAAACUCAGGUCCACACCACCCAAGCUGCAGCUCCGCCUUCACUUUUGGUUCAGAACUGCACCAGUGUUAUGUUGAUCCAGAGUUGUUUCUCUCUCUCUCUUUCAUUUUCUGAUCCUGACUACAGACCAAUAAAAAGGAAAUUUUACCAGAUGAUGCUUUUUUU